rnacentral:rRNA from 1 species
GAGGAGGUGAUACGGCGGAGGAGGGUAAGGGAUUGGGAUAGACGAGGGGCGCGGUGGCAGAGGAGGAAGCGGAUCGGGCGGCCUAUGAGCAGCAGCAGGAGCGUAGGUGUGCCCUCCACGAGGCGGAGAAGGAGGGAGGACCAAAGCCCGAUCCGUAGUGGAAGCAGCGGCCGCACCGAGGCCACCUGAGACCGCCCGAGGAGAGGCAGAAGAGGGAGCAGAGUGCGCGCCAAGGCGAAGAGCGACCGGUGGCCCACAUCGGAACGUCCCCGCGUAGCCCGACCCGGGCGCGGCGUGUCGGCACUCCUUGUAUCUUCUCGUGUGGUGGCCCGGCGUGUCGUCCGUUCCUUCCUCGCGGUGGCGCCUUACCCAUCCAGUUGCGGCGUCUAACCCCUCCUCGCGGCAGCGGCGGACCUGGUUCGAGGGACGAGGUGGCUGGUUCCUGCGAGCUAAGGCCGGUGGACGUCGUGUAGUUCGGUAGGCGAUUGUCUCCUUCUUAUACCUAUUACCAGCGCCCCGGUAGCGGGGACGAGCUGCACGCGUCGCUCGUUCUCAAGCAAGAUGCGCAGUCCUUCCUUCACCUCUCUCCCUUCAACGGAGGUCUACAACGACUAUUGAAGCUUUUGGACAUGAUGUUAAUGUUCUUACUCCAGGAUGUUUUACCCCUAGGUUUACGUAUAGUCUAGUACGAAAGGUUGUACUACCUAAAUAAACUGGCGUAAGACGACCUACGUCUCUCAGGUAAAUGCAAAGUCGGAAUAGUGUUCCGGUAGUCUCUUGGUAAACUGAUAAUGUGGAAGCCAGUCUUAAUGUAAUCCGGUGACCAUCUAAAAUCCAUGUUUAGACCCACACCUAACGACGGAACGGAAAGGUCGUCCGUUUCCAAGUCAACCGAUGUCCAAAGAACAACAUAGAUAGUGACGUCAAUGUGUUAUAGAACAGAUAGGUUAUUAACCUUCGGAACGGAUGUUAAAAGGUAGACUCGUAAGAACGUCUUAUUAAUAAUACACAAGUAGUUACUAUUGUUACUAUGGACUAAGUUCUAAUCCACCAGAUGUUAGGCGGCUGAGAGGUUUUGGUAUAGAGGUCGGGUAGUUUAGACUUUUAAUUUCCGACUACUACCACAAUAUUCCAAAUUUUAUUUCCUACUACCCCUCAUAGGCGGACAAUAAUCAAGAUUGUUUUCCAAGAAAAGUUACGUUAGCUAUAGGUCAUAUCGCUCAAGACCCUGUCCACCACCUCAUCGAUGUUGCCCCUCCUCGGUACGCUACUGGAGCUACGAAUGACAACGACGGUGUUCGUAACACAGACUUUUUCUUCCAGGAGUGUUAUGUUGUACGCUCCUCAUUCGGUUGUUCCGAUAGCCUGCCCCGGGUUGAUAGAUAUAUAUACCAGAUUAUAAUAUUGUAUCAUGAUCCAUCACUAGAUUUGAUAGAAUAUAAAGAACUAUCUCCUUGUCAUAAUCGUGAGGUGGAACGAAAACUAUAGAAACUAGAAACAUGACAAAGGCAACAGGGCCUCUCCGUGAUACACAACGAAAACAAUAUUUAGAGAGAGAGAGGGAGGGAGGGAGGGGGAGAGAGAGAGAGAGUUACGUACCGAUAAACAUACUACGUACCUAUCUUCUCUAAUUCCUACUCGUGAUUUAACACAAGAGU